CCGAGUGAGGGUUCCGGCCCGACCUCCAACCCUUUGUGAAUUCGACCCAGUUGCCUCGGGGGCGACCCGGCCUUCGGGCGUCGGGGCCCCCGGUGGACCACCCAACCCUGCAUCGUUGCGUCUGAGUCGAAAUAUAAAUCAAUCA
rnacentral:misc_RNA from 1 species